rnacentral:rRNA from 1 species
GUGCGUAACCUUAGAGCAGGGGGUACACCCGAUCCCAUUCCGAACUCGGUAGUUAAGCCCUGCAUCGCCGAAAGUACUGCGGCGUAGGCCGUGGGAGGACAGGACGUUGCGCACA